AAGCGAUGUACUUUUAAAGAGGAUCUUUUGGCUGUAAAGGUGCGCCUUUGGCUCUCUGCCGAAGCACCCGGCCGUACCGCCCUUUUUGCUGUUGUCUCUUAAUUGUCCCUUUUUUUAAACUUUCCUUCAAAUUUUAUAAAUAGCGAACCUCGUUUCUCACAAUUUGGUGGCCCAUACGGGGAUAAAGCCUCAGCUCUGGGAUCUCCCGGGGAACCCAGAGCACGGGGGUGCCCCCGCCCGCUUUUGGCGGCCUCGCUUUGUGCUUCCCGGCGGGGUCAGGGGGGUUUGCAGUCAAACACCCGGAGGGCAAGAGAGGAGACAAAGCAACAAGAAAGGAAAGAAAAAGCUCCCUGAGGUACCGCGGUAAUUAAACACGUAAAAUCGUGUGCACGAAGACUCCGAGAAAGGAGUACAAUUAUUAGUGCUCGGGGAAGAUUUGUGAAGCACUACUUCUUCAUCUCGCUAGUCAUGUCACAGGACCCAGUCAGAAGAUUCCAGUCUGUAGCUGUACAAAAUUCCAGGUAUUGGUACAAAUAAUAGACAAAGUUAACAAAGUACUACUGUCCCUUGGGGAAGAUUUCCCAUGUUUGUAAAAUCCGUGUGAAUAGAUAGAAAAAUGGUCAGAUUGAGUAUGUAUCAGUUUAAGUCCAGAACAGCAUCACUUUAAACUUUCAAAAACUUCUGGGUUUUGAUGACGGUGCUACCAGUUUUUAGACUACAAAAA